AUUCUUUUCUCAUUCGUUUCAAUUCGCUCGACUGCCAUGUUCGUAAAUCGCGAUUUAGUGAAGUUAGUCGCGUAAAAUCUUUUAAUUUUUUGUUUAAAAGGUAAAUAUCGCUAAUUAAAACCUCUGAUAAAAUGUUUAUUAAAUGUUCGAUGUGUGUGUAUUAAUUUAACCAAUUGGCGUUGAUUCCGAAUCCAUAAAAACAAAGUGAAAAUCCUGAGGGAAAGAAUUUUCACCUGAAAUGACAGUGAAAAAUCAGAAAUCUCUACGUCGACAACGAGCAAACACCGUUGUACUACAAAUAAGCGGGCGCGUCGCGCAGGCAAUCAGGCCAGGCCGUCAGUCAGUCAGCCAGCGAGUCAGUCAGUUGUUGAAGCGAUUAGAAAACCUGCAAUAAAAAUCAAAAUCAGCUGAAAUUUUUCAGUCACAACACACCCAAACGCCCAUAUUUCCACGCUACAAGCACACACAACUUGACAACAAAAAAAAAAUAAAAAUUUCCAGCUGGCAUCGGCGCGGUCAACAACAACGACGACAUAACGAUGAUGUACGAAUAAAUGUACGUAAAGACAUGCACGGCAAGUAUA